rnacentral:rRNA from 1 species
CCUACGUGAGGCAGCAGUGAGGAAUAUUGGUCAAUGGACGAGAGUCUGAACCAGCCAAGUAGCGUGAAGGAUGACUGCCCUAUGGGUUGUAAACAUCUUUUAUAAAGGAAUAAAACGAGGCACGUGUGCCUUUUUGCAUGUACUUUAUGAAUAAGGAUAGGCUAACUCCGUGCCAGCAGCCGCGGUAAUACGGAGGAGACGAGCGUUAUCCGGAUUUAUUGGGUUUAACGGGAGCGUAGAUGGGUUGUUGAGUCAGUUGUGAAAGUUUGGGGCUCAACCGUAAAAUUGCAAUUGAUACUGGCAGUCUUGAGUACAGUUGAGGUAGGCAGAAUUCGUGGUGUAGCGGUGAAAUGCUUAGAGAUGACGAAGAACCCCGAUUGCGAAGGCAGCUUACUAAACUGUGACUGACAUUGAUGCUCGAAAGUGUGGGUAUCAAACAGGAUUAGAUACCCGAGUAGUC